CGUAACGCAACCUCCCUCUAACUGAAGAUAGCCCACCGAAAGGUGGAUUAAUACUCCAUAACAUAUUGAAGUGGCAUCACUUUAAUAUUAAAGCUCCGGCGGUAAGAGAUGGGCGUGCGUCUGAUUAGGUAGUUGGCGGGGUAACGGCCCACCAAGCCUGCGAUCAGUAGCUGAUGUGAGAGCAUGAUCAGCCACACGGGCACUGAGACACGGGCCCG
rnacentral:rRNA from 1 species